AGUGAACGCUGGCGGUAGGCCUAACACAUGCAAGUCGAACGGCAGCACAGUAAGAGCUUGCUCUUACGGGUGGCGAGUGGCGGACGGGUGAGGAAUACAUCGGAAUCUACUUUUUCGUGGGGGAUAACGUAGGGAAACUUACGCUAAUACCGCAUACGACCUACGGGUGAAAGCAGGGGAUCUUCGGACCUUGCGCGAUCGAAUGAGCCGAUGUCGGAUUAGCUAGUUGGCGGGGUAAAGGCCCACCAAGGCGACGAUCCGUAGCUGGUCUGAGAGGAUGAUCAGCCACACUGGAACUGAGACACGGUCCAGACUCCUACGGGAGGCAGCAGUGGGGAAUAUUGGACAAUGGGCGCAAGCCUGAUCCAGCCAUACCGCGUGAGUGAAGAAGGCCUUCGGGUUGUAAAGCCCUUUUGUUGGGAAAGAAAAGCAGCAGGUUAAUACCCCGCUGUUCUGACGGUACCCAAAGAAUAAGCACCGGCUAACUUCGUG
rnacentral:rRNA from 1 species